CUCAUUCGGAUCGGAGUCUGCAACCCGACUCCGUGAAGCUGGAUUCGCUAGUAAUCGCGCAUCAGCCAUGGCGCGGUGAAUACGUUCCCGGGCCUUGUACACACCGCCCGUCAAGCCAUGGGAGCCGGGGGUGCUUGAAGUGCGUCGCCGCAAGGCGCGCCCUAGAGCAAAACCGGUGACUGGGGCUAAGUCGUAACAAGGUACC
rnacentral:rRNA from 1 species